rnacentral:lncRNA from 1 species
AGUGACAGUCCCUGUGAACGAUUCAGUCAGUGCUGUGAUCCUGAAAGCUGAAAAAGACAACAAACCAGUGGGCACCUGGAGCGGAGCAUACGAGAAGUGCAACAACAGCGUUGUCUACAACUUGACAUCUCUAAACAACUCAGCCUUCCAGACAAACUGGACCGUUCCUAGUUCUGAGGACGUGACUAAAGUCAACCUGACGAUCUUCAUUGUCAUCAACCGCACAGCUACAGUGUCAUCUGUGAAACUGGAGCCAAGUGAGUUCUAUUGCAAAUCUCUGUAGAUUUGGCGUCAGACUCAAGCAGUCUGGAAAGUUAUUUUACUCACAUAUCAGUUGAGUUUCCCACCGUCCUGGAACCUAUCUGAGAUUUGUUUCAUGUUGUGCGGAAAACAAAAACGCUGUCU